UCCUCUUUGGCUCUGGGAAUUUCUCCUCCCACGUGGAGGCCCCCACAGCAGUGGACACCACCCAGCCAGGCCCACCUGACCGGUCAGGCUCAAACCCUCUGGUACCCGCCCCACCCAUAGGACCAGGUGUAAACCAGGCAGCGACACCCCAGACGUGUGGUCUUGGUCAGCUCCCCUGGGCUCCUCUCCCUCCAGCUGGCCCUUCUCUGCCCAGGAAACAGUUUUCUGAAGAGUUCUCCGUUCUCGAGCCUUCCAGCUGCGUGGGAGAGAGUUGACCCCAAGGCUGGGACCACAAGAGGCCAGGGAGGGUGGGCCUGGGAUCUGCAGCUCACGGGCUGUGUGACUGUGGGCACGAGAUUUCAUUUCCUGAUUCAUAAAGGUGGGGACCGAUCAAAGCUACUCCUUGGACCUUUGUGAAGAUUAAAUGAGUUCAACACGGAGCAUUCUUGACCCAUGGGCCAUCCCCAGAUGAGGCUGCAGCAUUGCCCCGUGUGCUCUCAGCUGGUGCCAGUGUUGUCUGGAACUGUCUGGACCUACCUGGAAACUGAGUAUUUCUCUGAAGAAGUCUGCAGCCCUUUGGCAGCGUGGCUGCAGAUGGAAGGAAGGAAACAGUUCGCCCUGGAGAAUGGCUAGGCAGCACCUCUGAGCCGAGCAUCCCACCCGCUCUGACUGGCCCACAAUCGUGGGGCCAGUGGUAUCUCAGAGCCCUUCUGUAAGGAGGUCUGGUCCCCCGGCAUUCAGGGGUUCUGAGCUGCUCAGUUCUGGGAUAUGGGGAAAAGCCAGGAUUCUCCACCAUGCUGGCUGACGCCAUUUCUCUGUUCACCAGACCUACAGGGUUUUGUCACUUACAGUGAUUGCCAUGGUCUGAAUGCUUGUGUCCUCCUCGAAAGGUAGGUAUUGAAACCUAAUCACCAAGGUGAUGGUGUUGGGAGGUGGGACCUUCAAGAGGUGGCAAGGUCAUGGGGGCAGAGCCCUCAUAAAUGGAUUGGUGCCCUUAUGAAAGGGGCCCAUGGGAGCCUUGUUUGCCCCAUGUACGGGUGCAGCCGGAAGUUGCUGUCUGAGAGGAAACUGGCCUCCACCAAACACAGCUGGCACCUUGGUCUUGCACUUCCAGCCUCCAGAACUGUGAGACAUGUUUCUGUCAUUUAUAAGCCACCCAGAUCUUUAAUGAUAUUUUUGUUAUGGUAGCCCAAACAGACUAAGACAGAGACCAGAGAACACUUUGGCAGGCUACUUACGUGUUUUAGUCCUGGGGACACUUCAAUCAGUUAGACAUUCCCCAAAGUCCUACAGGGUGAAGGACACAGUUGCUGCCCUGGCCCUGUCACCCAUUGAGACCAGGACACCCCAUUGUGCUGGAGCUGCUACCUGGUUGCCAACACUCAGGCAGCCUGUUCAAUGAGAGCAACUUGCACCACUAUCUUGGUCCACAGAGCCUUCCAAGAUGCGGUGCCCUCCAUCAGCAUAUUGCCACGCCUUUCUCUCCCAGGAUGCAUUGCUGGGAUGGAUGAACAGGGCCAUGCGAUAAAUCCUCUAACGUUGCCACGUCUGUGCUUUUGCCUCCUUUCCUCUCCGUUGUAUGGAGGAAGUUCUGACAGCUCACUUCAUUUCACGUGGUGUGCAAGCUUCUGUCAAACAACGGAACAAACUAUGAGAACCACUUCCAGCCACUGCUUCUGCACACUUCUCUGCUAAGUGAGUCUCUGCUGUGUGAGUCUCAUUGGUAAAACUACCCUGAUCUAACAUUCUGUUACCUCCUUUGUGGUCCAACACUCCAAGAGUCCACGGCCUCAGACGCCCCUGGGUUUCUGCUGAUGUAAAUUGGCAAAAACUUGCAUUCAGUGUGUAUGUGGCUCCUCUUGGGUCUCACUGUGUGUUUAUCCCUCUGCACCCAACUCUAGUCAUGGCUCUGGGAAUAAUGAGGGUCGGUGGAGGUGGAUCUCAAGGGAGAUCUGUCAUCUUGCAAGGCUGUUUCCUCAAGUGAAGCCAUCACAGAUCUUUGGGCACAGUUUUACUCACCUCAGACUCUAAGGAAGAGUCACUUCUGCUUACAGGGAGACUCAGGAAGGUCUAAUGUUCAGGGGACUCAGAGUCAGAGAAAUCCACCCUCUCCAGUUCUCGAGGUCUCAUUCUUUCCAAAUAAAUGCCUUAACUUUGACUUAAGAGAUUUAGUAAGACAUUUAAUUAUUCUUUAGUUGUAAUUCAUUAGCCUGCAAGAUCAAAUUUGUACUCUGCAUUUAAAAAAAAAAGUUGACUCUACAGCUACAAGAACUAAAAUGGUUUUUUUAGGACAGCUAUAGAAGGGCUCUGGUUCUCUGUCUAUACCUUCAGCUGAGCACUUAAGGCCACAGCUUGUCAUUUUCUUUGUCAGUUCCCCAGUGCAAUAAGCAGCAGCCACCCCAUGCCACAUCCUUGUAUGCAUGGUUUCCAUCCACAUCCUAAUGUCCUAUUGCAAGAGCCCCCUGGUGUCUGAAACCCAGGCUUGUGAUGGGCACUGCAUCGCAGAGACCUCAAGGUAAUGAUUUUACCAGUGACAAUGUUUAUAGAUUAUCUGCAUCCUGCUUCCCACUCCUCACGUGGUCCUCACUGACAUCAGACAAAACCUGGUCUGUCCAAUUACUAACUCCAGAUUCCCAUCUUCAAGGUUCUGCCUUCCUGGAAACACUGCUGGUACCAGGAAUGGUUGGUCGGGAACACUAAAGUCACUCUAGGUAUUUUGGGUAGAAGGAGAUUCAUUGCAGGGAACUCUAGGCUUACAGAAAUGUUGAGAACUUUGGGGACUGAAGGUUAUUUCAGGAGAUCUGGAAGUGCAGGGAUAGAAGGGUAGCAUCCAUUGCCCCCUGAUAACUGUACCACUGACAUGGCUAGAAACCACCCCAGUGAUCCCAGCUGCUUGUAGCACCUCAGGGUGAUUCUCAAACUGACUCCAGAAGCCAAGGUACACUGCUGCCAAUGACUGCAGGGGCCUCUGCAAAACGGACGUUGAUGAAUGAAACAAAGUGUGAUCUACCCAUAGCAGGGAAUGUUAUUCAUCCUUAAAAAGGAAGGAAAUCCUGCAGCUCACGCCUGUC
rnacentral:lncRNA from 1 species